rnacentral:tRNA from 1 species
GCGGGCGUAGCCGAACUGGUACAGGCGCCAGACUUAGGAUCUGGUGGGUCUCGUCGCCCAUGAGGGUUCGAGUCCCUCCGCCCGCACCA